AUGACAAACCUAUGAGUAAGGAAAAUAAUAAUUCAAUGUGGUGCCCAAAUUCUCACUGCUAAUGUGAGAUUAAUUUUUGAGCGGAUAAUAGCUGCCCCCAAAGGUGACCUGCCUACUUUGCAGGACGCCUGGGAGUCACGAUCUGCCCA
ensembl:snRNA U12 U12 minor spliceosomal RNA